GACGGAGGAUGCAAGUGUUAUCCGGAAUCACUGGGCGUAAAGCGUCUGUAGGUGGUUUAAUAAGUCAACUGUUAAAUCUUGAGGCUCAACCUCGAAACCGCAGUCGAAACUAUUAGACUAGAGUAUAGUAGGGGUAAAGGGAAUUUCCAGUGGAGCGGUGAAAUGCGUAGAGAUUGGAAAGAACACCGAUGGCGAAGGCACUUUACUGGGCUAUUACUAACACUGAGAGACGAAAGCUAGGGGAGCAAACAGG
rnacentral:rRNA from 1 species